UCGAGCGGAAGGCCCUUCGGGGUACUCGAGCGGCGAACGGGUGAGUAACACGUGAGCAACCUGCCCUAGGCUUUGGGAUAACCCCGGGAAACCGGGGCUAAUACCGGAUAUUCACUGUUGGCCGCAUGGCUGGUGGUGGAAAGUUUUUCGGCUUGGGAUGGGCUCGCGGCCUAUCAGCUUGUUGGUGGGGUGAUGGCCUACCAAGGCGACGACGGGUAGCCGGCCUGAGAGGGCGACCGGCCACACUGGGACUGAGACACGGCCCAGACUCCUACGGGAGGCAGCAGUGGGGAAUAUUGCACAAUGGGCGGAAGCCUGAUGCAGCGACGCCGCGUGAGGGAUGACGGCCUUCGGGUUGUAAACCUCUUUCAGCAGGGACGAAGCGUGAGUGACGGUACCUGCAGAAGAAGCGCCGGCCAACUACGUGCCAGCAGCCGCGGUAAGACGUAGGGCGCGAGCGUUGUCCGGAUUUAUUGGGCGUAAAGAGCUCGUAGGCGGCUUGUCGCGUCGACUGUGAAAACCCGUGGCUCAACUGCGGGCCUGCAGUCGAUACGGGCAGGCUAGAGUUCGGUAGGGGAGACUGGAAUUCCUGGUGUAGCGGUGAAAUGCGCAGAUAUCAGGAGGAACACCGGUGGCGAAGGCGGGUCUCUGGGCCGAUACUGACGCUGAG
rnacentral:rRNA from 1 species